GGUAACACUGAAUGGAGGACCGAACCGACUUACGUUGAAAAGUGAGCGGAUGAACUGAGGGUAGCGGAGAAAUUCCAAUCGAACCUGGAGAUAGCUGGUUCUCUCCGAAAUAGCUUUAGGGCUAGCCUCAAGUGAUGAUUAUUGGAGGUAGAGCACUGUUUGGACGAGGGGCCCCUCUCGGGUUACCGAAUUCAGACAAACUCCGAAUGCCAAUUAAUUUAACUUGGGAGUCAGAACAUGGGUGAUAAGGUCCGUGUUCGAAAGGGAAACAGCCCAGACCACCAGCUAAGGUCCCAAAAUAUAUGUUAAGUGGAAAAGGAUGUGGCGUUGCCCAGACAACUAGGAUGUUGGCUUAGAAGCAGCCAUCAUUUAAAGAGUGCGUAAUAGCUCACUAGUCGAGUGACACUGCGCCGAAAAUGUACCGGGGCUAAACAUAUUACCGAAGCUGUGGAUUGUCCUUUGGACAAUGGUAGGAGAGCGUUCUAAGGGCGUUGAAGCAUGAUCGUAAGGACAUGUGGAGCGCUUAGAAGUGAGAAUGCCGGUGUGAGUAGCGAAAGACGGGUGAGAAUCCCGUCCACCGAUUGACUAAGGUUUCCAGAGGAAGGCUCGUCCGCUCUGGGUUAGUCGGGUCCUAAGCUGAGGCCGACAGGCGUAGGCGAUGGAUAACAGGUUGAUAUUCCUGUACCACCUAUAAUCGUUUUAAUCGAUGGGGGGACGCAGUAGGAUAGGCGAAGCGUGCGAUUGGAUUGCACGUCUAAGCAGUAAGGCUGAGUAUUAGGCAAAUCCGGUACUCGUUAAGGCUGAGCUGUGAUGGGGAGAAGACAUUGUGUCUUCGAGUCGUUGAUUUCACACUGCCGAGAAAAGCCUCUAGAUAGAAAAUAGGUGCCCGUACCGCAAACCGACACAGGUAGUCAAGAUGAGAAUUCUAAGGUGAGCGAGCGAACUCUCGUUAAGGAACUCGGCAAAAUGACCCCGUAACUUCGGGAGAAGGGGUGCUCUUUAGGGUUAACGCCCAGAAGAGCCGCAGUGAAUAGGCCCAAGCGACUGUUUAUCAAAAACACAGGUCUCUGCUAAACCGUAAGGUGAUGUAUAGGGGCUGACGCCUGCCCGGUGCUGGAAGGUUAAGAGGAGUGGUUAGCUUCUGCGAAGCUACGAAUCGAAGCCCCAGUAAACGGCGGCCGUAACUAUAACGGUCCUAAGGUAGCGAAAUUCCUUGUCGGGUAAGUUCCGACCCGCACGAAAGGCGUAACGAUUUGGGCACUGUCUCAACGAGAGACUCGGUGAAAUCAUAGUACCUGUGAAGAUGCAGGUUACCCGCGACAGGACGGAAAGACCCCGUGGAGCUUUACUGUAGCCUGAUAUUGAAAUUCGGCACAGCUUGUACAGGAUAGGUAGGAGCCUUUGAAACGUGAGCGCUAGCUUACGUGGAGGCGCUGGUGGGAUACUACCCUAGCUGUGUUGGCUUUCUAACCCGCACCACUUAUCGUGGUGGGAGACAGUGUCAGGCGGGCAGUUUGACUGGGGCGGUCGCCUCCUAAAAGGUAACGGAGGCGCUCAAAGGUUCCCUCAGAAUGGUUGGAAAUCAUUCAUAGAGUGUAAAGGCAUAAGGGAGCUUGACUGCGAGACCUACAAGUCGAGCAGGGUCGAAAGACGGACUUAGUGAUCCGGUGGUUCCGCAUGGAAGGGCCAUCGCUCAACGGAUAAAAGCUACCCCGGGGAUAACAGGCUUAUCUCCCCCAAGAGUUCACAUCGACGGGGAGGUUUGGCACCUCGAUGUCGGCUCAUCGCAUCCUGGGGCUGUAGUCGGUCCCAAGGGUUGGGCUGUUCGCCCAUUAAAGCGGUACGCGAGCUGGGUUCAGAACGUCGUGAGACAGUUCGGUCCCUAUCCGUCGUGGGCGUAGGAAAUUCGAGAGGAGCUGUCCUUAGUACGAGAGGACCGGGAUGGACAUACCUCUGGUGUACCAGUUGUCGUGCCAACGGCAUAGCUGGGUAGCUAUGUGUGGACGGG
rnacentral:rRNA from 1 species